GACGAACGCUGGCGGCGUGCUUAACACAUGCAAGUCGAACGGAAAGGCCCUGCUUUUGUGGGGUGCUCGAGUGGCGAACGGGUGAGUAACACGUGAGUAACCUGCCCUUGACUUUGGGAUAACUUCAGGAAACUGGGGCUAAUACCGGAUAGGAGCUCCUGCUGCAUGGUGGGGGUUGGAAAGUUUCGGCGGUUGGGGAUGGACUCGCGGCUUAUCAGCUUGUUGGUGGGGUAGUGGCUUACCAAGGCUUUGACGGGUAGCCGGCCUGAGAGGGUGAUCGGCCACAUUGGGACUGAGAUACGGCCCAGACUCCUACGGGAGGCAGCAGUGGGGAAUAUUGCACAAUGGGCGGAAGCCUGAUGCAGCAACGCUGCGUGCGGGAUGACGGCCUUCGGGUUGUAAACCGCUUUCGCCUGUGACGAAGCGUGAGUGACGGUAAUGGGUAAAGAAGCACCGGCUAACUACGUG
rnacentral:rRNA from 1 species